AUUGAACGCUGGCGGCAUGCCUUACACAUGCAAGUCGAACGGUAACAGGUUAAGCUGACGAGUGGCGAACGGGUGAGUAAUGUAUCGGAACGUGCCCAGUCGUGGGGGAUAACUGCUCGAAAGAGCAGCUAAUACCGCAUACGACCUGAGGGUGAAAGCGGGGGAUCGCAAGACCUCGCGCGAUUGGAGCGGCCGAUAUCAGAUUAGGUAGUUGGUGAGGUAAAGGCUCACCAAGCCGACGAUCUGUAGCUGGUCUGAGAGGACGACCAGCCACACUGGGACUGAGACACGGCCCAGACUCCUACGGGAGGCAGCAGUGGGGAAUUUUGGACAAUGGGCGCAAGCCUGAUCCAGCCAUGCCGCGUGCGGGAAGAAGGCCUUCGGGUUGUAAACCGCUUUUGUCAGGGAAGAAAAGGUUCUGGCUAAUACCUGGGACUCAUGACGGUACCUGAAGAAUAAGCACCGGUUAACUACGUG
rnacentral:rRNA from 1 species